UACGUAGGGGGCAAGCGUUGUCCGGAAUCAUUGGGCGUAAAGCGCGUGUAGGCGGCUCGGUAAGUCUGCUGUGAAAGUCCAGGGCUCAACCCUGGAAUGCCGGUGGAAACUGUCGAGCUAGAGUACGGAAGAGGCGAGUGGAAUUCCUGGUGUAGCGGUGAAAUGCGCAGAUAUCAGGAGGAACACCAAUGGCGAAGGCAGCUCGCUGGGACGUUACUGACGCUGAGACGCGAAAGCGUGGGGAGCAAACAGG
rnacentral:rRNA from 1 species